rnacentral:rRNA from 1 species
UACGAAGGGAGCUAGCGUUGCUCGGAAUCACUGGGCGUAAAGCGCACGUAGGCGGAUCUUUAAGUCAGGGGUGAAAUCCCGAGGCUCAACCUCGGAACUGCCCUUGAUACUGGGGAUCUCGAGUCCGGAAGAGGUUGGUGGAACUCCGAGUGUAGAGGUGAAAUUCGUAGAUAUUCGGAAGAACACCAGUGGCGAAGGCGGCCAACUGGUCCGGCACUGACGCUGAGGUGCGAAAGCGUGGGGAGCAAACAGG